AUUGAACGCUGGCGGCAGGCCGAAAACAUGAAAGUCGAACGAGUGGCGGACGGGUGAGUAAUGUCUGGGAAACUGCCUGAUGGAGGGGGAUAACUACUGGAAACGGUAGCUAAUACCGCAUACCAUCAGAUGUGCCCAGAGGGGAUUAGCUUGUUGGUGGGGUAAGGGCUCACCAAGCAGACAGUCCCUAGCUGGUCGUAGAGGAUGACCAGCCACACUGGAACUGAGACACGGUCCAGACUCCUACGGGAGGCAGCAGUGGGGAAUAUUGCACAAUGGGCGCAAGCCUGAUGCAGCCAUGCCGCGUGUAUGAAGAAGGCCUUCGGGUUGUAAAGUACUUUCAGCGGGGAGGCGUUACCCGCAGAAGAAGCACCGGCUAACUCCGUGCCAGCAGCCGCGGUAAUUC
rnacentral:rRNA from 1 species